rnacentral:rRNA from 1 species
ACGUCCGUCGUGAAGAGGGAAACAACCCAGACCGCCAGCUAAGGUCCCAAAGUCAUGGUUAAGUGGGAAACGAUGUGGGAAGGCACAGACAGCCAGGAUGUUGGCUUAGAAGCAGCCAUCAUUUAAAGAAAGCGUAAUAGCUCACUGGUCGAGUCGGCCUGCGCGGAAGAUGUAACGGGGCUAAACCAUGCACCGAAGCUGCGGCAGCGACACUAUGUGUUGUUGGGUAGGGGAGCGUUCUGUAAGCCUGCGAAGGUGACCUGUGAGGGUUGCUGGAGGUAUCAGAAGUGCGAAUGCUGACAUAAGUAACGAUAAAGCGGGUGAAA